rnacentral:lncRNA from 1 species
UACCUCAUAUAAGUAGAAUCAUACAACAUUCGUCAUUUUGUGACUUUUCUUCACUUAGCAUGUUGUGAAGGCUCAUUUAUACUGCAGUAUGUAGAAUUUCCUUUCUUUUUUUUUUUGUAAAAUGCUGAACAACAUUUGAUUGUAUUUAUAUACCAUUUUGUUUAUCCAGGCAUCCAUCAAUGAAUGCUUGAGGUGUUUCAUUUUGAUUUUUUAACCAUAUUAUAACCCUGAAGUCAUAUACAAUAAAGAUGAAAGAACCUUAUAUCACCAGCAUUAAAAAAAAACAGACCACAUUCUGAUCCUUAAAAUAUAUCAUAAUAAAAAAAAAGAGACAGAGAAAAAGAGAUUAAAAAAAAAAAAGAAAAAGAAAUGUCUGUAUGUUGCCAGCAUGAAGAGACUUAGUUAUUCAUUCAAAAAUCAAAGUGGAAGAGAUAUGAUUUAAAGAUUCUAGGAAGUUAUUAUGUGACUAUUGUAAAAAUAAUGGAGUUUUAUACAAUGUCUAUAUUCUAAUAAUGGAUGAUAUCAUGCCCACAUUUUUCACCUUUCUUCUCUCUAUAUUCUCUUCUUGCUUUUAUUUCUGUACCUCUCUUAGGAUGUCUGCCCUCCCCCCCAUGCACUUUUCAAAUAUCUUAAAUCAUCUCUAGCAAAAAGCCUGGCACAAGUACAAUUAUCUGUCCACUCUGAUACUGCCUUCUUUAUUCUACAAACACGCAUUAAUGACUAUGUGGGAAGAGCUGCUGUGUGAGUAAUCAGGGUUAAGAGCUAUUACUUGUUUGACUCUCUUGUGCAUGUCACAUACAUUGAGAAGCACAAUUUCUCAUCUAUAUAUUCACUGAUGUCUUUGUGUGUCUUAGGCCCUUUCUGUCUCCUCUGCAACGUCUCACAUAAGACUGGGCACCCAGUUAAUGCCCAGUACAUACUUAGCGAUGAUUGACAGUAUGUUUUUUUCAGCACAGGUUCACAUGCACCUCUCUAGUAAACAGACAGCAUACUCUGCUGCAAGCUGUGUAAAAAAAAAAAAAAAAACCUAGUCGGUUAACUUAUGUGAUGGUAACAGAAUGGUUUAGCUCUGAGGAGCCAUAUUCGUUAUGUAAGCACAAACUUGAAUAUCAUUUCUAAAAUCUAGAGAUUAUGAGCAGAUUGUAAGUGGUUCACAGCAGGAUCUACAUCUUUAGAUGCUUUGACCAGAUCUUGAACUACAGGAAAAGACCCUCAAAUCUGAUGCCCUUUGACCUGGCUAUCUCAGUCAUCACAUCUUUGGUGUUCAACUCCACCCCAAUCAGCUGAGGGUAAAUAACCCAGCACUAGGACUCCUCUUCAUAGAAAAGGCAGGGGGCACCCUGAAGCCAAGCUCUGGGUACAGAAUGGGUUAAAACUGUGGCUAUUUAAAGUUCCACUCACAUUUAUUCACACAUACACCUCCUGGAGAAUUCCCAGGCUUCUGUCUAUUUCUCUUAGGUCCCUCUGUAGAGAGUGCAACAGGAGAGAUGCAUGCUGCCAGAAGUCAGAACAACCCAGCUGAUUUCGUGUCUGCCACGCUCAAGCUCUCUGAAUUUAGUUCCUGUUCUCCUCCAGCCUGAGAACUGGUUUCCUCCUGAAAAUAAGUUCAGUAAGUCUUUCUAAUCUUUUUUGAAGUCAUGCAAAAUGAAAGGUGAUAAUGAUGCAAAACUUCGUUCUAACCUGUGAAGGUCUGUAUGCACAUAUUGUCUAUGAAGCAAAUACUUACAGUAUGGAAAUGACAGGUAGGAGAUACUACAGAUUUUACAUAUACAGAUUUACAUGUACAGAUUUUAAAUAUUUUUUCCAGUCCACCAACAUUUGAUCUCAUGUUCUUGUCUGAACAGCCUCCAGUUGCCAAAAAAAUUCUAGGUCCCUAGGGUGGUUAGAGGCAUAGAGCAUGGCAGGAAAACUAUGGGAAGCCUAGAGAUCUACAGUGUGAGUGCCUCUUGAUAGUAACCUGUGCAAAGGGUCAGAUAGGGCUUGUGGAUGAGUGUCACUGAUAUUCAGUAACAGGUGGCAUGCACUGAACACGUACAAGCGCCAAACACUGUAAUCAUAAUGACAGGAAAUGUUUAUUAGACCCUAGUUUGUAUCAGGCACUCCCCUAAUCACUUUAUGUACAUCAUUUCAUCAUAGCUGUUCUAAUAGUCAGUGAAUAUGAAUACACUAAUUUAUUUAUUUAAUUUUUAAAAUUUUACUUUAUGGCCACAUCCACAGCAUAUGGAAGCUCCCAUAUGAAUACGAGCAUAUUGAAUCUGAGGCACAGUUGGGACCUAUGCUACAGCUGCAGCAACCCUAGAUCUUUUAAGCUACUGCACCAGGCCGGGGAUGGAACCCACACCUCUGCAGCAACCCUGAACCGUUGCAGUCAGAUUCUUCCCAGUGCACCAUGGCGGGAACUCCUUAAUAUUCUAUUUUUACAUACAUGGAUACCAAGGAAUAGAGAAGUUGAGAAACUUGUCCCAAUUCCCUUAGCUAGAAUGUGGCAGAGCCAGAAUUCCAAACCAGGCACUUGGAUUUCAGAAACUAUGCUAAACAUUAUUCUCUUCCCAAGAUAACAACAAGGCAAAGCAGAAGCCUGGCUGAGUGAGGAAUGGAUAAAAAGUCUGCAAAACAGCAGCUGCUGAGUAUUUCCAUCUUCUGCUCUAAAUCCUGAGUGUAGGAACUUACAGCCAAGAGAAAGAAAUUCUUAGAAACGUACUAGGAUUUUCCUGAAGAGAGGGAAGACUGGUAGUGACACAACAAAUGAGUAUGUCAAGGCUCUCUGGCGUUAAAUUCACUAGCAGGAGCCGAAGCUCUUAUCCUCUGGUAGACAUGACUAGCUAAGGUAAAUGAGCUUAAAGAGAAAUAUAAGAAGUCAUCUGAGUACAAUGUUUAAACAGGAUGGCAACAUAUAAACGAUGUAUACUCUGUGAUUCAGAACAGAUGGAAUUCAGAGGUCACCAUUUUAAAACCUAAUACAGCAGUUCCCAUUGUGGCUCAGUGGUUAACGAAUCCAACUAGGAACCAUGAGGUUGCGGGUUCGAUCCCUGGCCUUGCUCAGUGGGUUAAGGAUCUGGCGUUGCCGUGAGCUGUGGUUUAGGUCGCAGACGCGGCUCAAAUCCGGCCUUGCUGUGGCUCUGGUGUAGGCCGGUGGCUACACCUCCAAUUAGACCCCUAGCCUGGGAACCUCCACAUGCCAUGGGAGUGGCCCUAGAAGUGACAAAAGAAAAAGAAAAAAAAAAAAAAACUAAUACAAUAAACAUCUUCAAAAAGGUAGGAUAGGAUAUGUUGAGGAUGUUAGGCAGCAACAAGCAAUUACUGAGAAAUAUAUUUACUGGAUAUAAUAAUAUAAAAAUAUUUAAAAAUUAAAAGAGAUAGAUAAUUAACAGAAUUGAUAGAGCCAUAAAUUAAAUUAGUCAACAGAAAGAUCAGUCCAGGAAUUUAUUUAGAAAGGAUCAGAAAGUCAUUAAUAAUCGAAAAACAUUAAAAAGAAGUUAAUAAACACAGAUAAUAAAAACAUAGUGUCAUCAACCAUUUAUAACAGUACUACAAAGAAUGAAAACAAAUAAAUGAAGAAGUGAAAAUAGAUAAAAUAAUAAUCCACAAGAAUUUCUCAAGCUUUAAAAAUAUGAACACAUAAGAUAAAGCACCUUGGAAUAUACAAAAUAGAUAAGGAAAGCCCCAUACAUGUUCAUUAUAGGGAAAUUUAAGAAAAUAUUCUAAAUGCUUCUAGAGAGAGAAGCUAUGUUAAAGAGAAAGCUGUCAGAUUUCUACCUGAUUUUUCCAUAUCAACACUAGAAGUAAGAUGACAGAAGGCUAACAUUUUCAAAGUGUUUAAAAUAACUUCAACUCUCUACCAAUUUUUUGAAAAAAAAAAAAUUAGAGUACAGAUGAUUUUCUGAGCAAUAAAACCUUUCUUUGAAAGCACCAAGAAAUUAACCCUACACUAUGCUGUGUAAAAUUUGGGUAAUGAGUGUAACAAAAUAUUUUAGUCCAAAAAUGAAUAUGAUGAAAACUUAGAGGAGGUGAUGAUAAAAAUAGAUAAGGGUUUACUAAUCAUGUGGGACAUCUACUCCAUCUCUCCAUCUUUUUCAUUUUCCUAGCUAGUGAAUAACAAUUUAAAGAAAUUGCUUUCUUCCUGUAACCAUUUAAAGGCAAAAUCUGCCCAGAAGUGUUGCCAGGUGCUAUGGGAACCAAGAGGAAUACUUAACAGAGGAUGGAGGCUACACGAGCCUUUCUACUGCUAUAUAACCAUUGCCACAAACUUAGAGGCUUAAAACAGCAUACAUUCAUUAUUUCCCAGUUUCUCCAGGUCAGAAGGGUAGACAUAGCUUAACUGGGUCCUCUGCUUUAGAUGCUCAUCAGGCAGCAAGCCAGAGUUAACUGGGACUGUGGUCUUAUCAGAGGUUUGACUGAAGAAAGAUAUGUUUCCAAUCCCCCUCAGGUUGUUGGCAGAAUUUACCUCCUAAAGCUGUAGGACUGAGCUUCCCAUUUUCUUCCUGGCUGUCGGCAAAGGCAGAUUUCCACUCCUAGAGCCCACCUGUGAUUCCUAGUCAUGUGGCCUUUUCCACAGGCAAUUCACAAUGUAUCUGCUUGUUUCUUCAAAACUAGAAGGAGAAUCUCUCCCUCCAGUGUGCAAAGAUGAAGUCAUAUAUAGAAAAACAGAAGCAUGGGGGUCACAGUUCAUCAUCUUUUCCUUGGUCUCUUACUUAGAAGCAAGUCACAGAUUCUGCCAUCACUGAAGAGUAGGGGAUUAUAAAAGAGUAUGGCUUACAGUUGGUGACCUAAAGGUGUGCCCCCCACACUAGUGCUUUUCAACUCAGAGUUUGUUUCUUUCCCUAGUAGGUAGUCAAAGUAGGCUAAAACUUACAUCUGUCUGUUAUCACCAAAGAUAACUAACAUCCAUUAAAAUAUGAACUGACAUGCCUAAUUUUCACACACCUACAGGGUAUAAUCAUUAUACAAGAAAGACCGCAAACUAAACAUGAAGCAGAAUUACUGGCA